rnacentral:lncRNA from 1 species
CGCUACCGCCGCUCCCGCAGCCGCCGCUACUCCCGUUCCCGCUCCCGCAGCCGCCGUUACUCCGGGGGGGGCUCCCGGGACAGCCGCCGCCGCUCCCGCUCCUAUUCCCCCGACCGGGGCUACCGCUACGGCUCCCGCCGCCGCUCCCGGUGCGUCCCCGGGGCCGGGGUCCCCAAAACGGGGUCCCUCCGGUGGUGGCCCCCCAGGUCCCUCUCUGUGGGGUCCGGGUGGGUUCUGUUGGGGUGGGGGCGAGCCCCCCUCCCCCGCGCUGCAGCCUCUCCAGUGCGGCUUGGGUUCGUCCCCGGGGUCCCCAAUUUGUCCCUGGGGUCCCCAGUUUGUCCCCAGGAGCUUGGGUUUGUCCCCGGGAGCCCCGAUCUGUCCCCAGGAUCCCGGGUUUGUCCCUUGGAGCCCCAGUUUGUCCCCAGGAGCUCCAAUUUGCCCCUGGGGUCCCCAGUUUGUUCCCAGGAGCUUGGGUUUGUCACUGGGAUCCCCAAUUUGUCCCCAGGAGCUUGGGGUUGUCCCCAGGGUCCCCAGUUUGUCCCCAGGAGCUUGGGUUUGUCCCCGGGAGCCCCGAUCUGUCCCCAGGAUCCCCAGCUUGUCUUUGGGAUCCCCAACUUGUCCCCAGGAGCUUGGGUUUGUCCCCAGGGUCCCCAGUUUGUCACCAGGAGCUUGGGUGUGUCCCCAGGAUCCCGGGUUUGUCCCUGGGGUCCCCAAUUUGUCCCUGGGGUCCCCAGUUUGUCCCCAGGAUCCUGGGUUUGUCCCCAGGAUCCCCAAUUUGUCCUCAGGAGCUCGGGUUUGUCCCCAGGAUCCCCAAUUUGUCCCCGGGAGCUUGGGUUUGUCCCUAGGGUCCCCAGUUUGCCACUGGGAUCCCAGGUUUGUCCCCAGGUUCCCCCAGUUUGUCCCCAGGAGCUUGGGUUUGUCCCCGGGGUCCCCAAUUUGUCCCCAGGAGCUUGGAUUUGUCCCCGGGAUCCUGGGUUUGUCCCCGGGACCCCCAGUUUAUCCCCGGGACCCCCACCUGGGUCCCCACCCCCCAAAUCCUCGACGAACCCAAACCCUCCCCGUUUCCCACCCCGCCACCGCGCGUCCCCACCUCUCCAUCCC